rnacentral:rRNA from 1 species
CGCAGUGCCGCGUGCUAUACAUGCAGUCGAGCGCGGGAAGCCGGCGGACUCCUUCGGGAGGAAACCGGUGGAACGAGCGGCGGACGGGUGAGUAACACGUGGGCAACCUGCCGGACUGAUGGGAAUAACCCCGGGAAACCGGGGCUAAUGCCCAAUACGCCCUGACCUCGCCUGAGGUCAGCGGCAAAGCAGGGAUCUUCGGAUCCUUGCACAGUCCGAUGGGCCCGCGGCGCAUUAGCUAGUUGGAGAGGUAAGGGCUCCCCAAGGCGACGAUGCGUAGCCGACCUGAGAGGGUGAUCGGCCACACUGGGACUGAGACACGGCCCAGACUCCUACGGGAGGCAGCAGUAGGGAAUCAUCCGCAAUGGGCGAAAGCCUGACGGUGCAACGCCGCGUGAGUGAUGAAGGUUUUCGGAUCGUAAAGCUCUGUUGACAGGGAAGAACCCACGCCAGUCGAACAGGCUGGCGUGCUGACGGUACCUGUCCAGAAAGCCCCGGCUAACUACGUGCCAGCAGCCGCGGUAAUACGUAGGGGGCAAGCGUUGUCCGGAAUUAUUGGGCGUAAAGGGCACGCAGGCGGUUUCGUCAGUCCGAUGUGACAGGCCACGGCUCAACCGUGGAAGGCCAUUGGAAACUGCGAAACUUGAGGACAGAAGAGGAGAGUGGAAUUCCACGUGUAGCGGUGAAAUGCGUAGAUAUGUGGAGGAACACCAGUGGCGAAGGCGACUCUCUGGUCUGUACCUGACGCUGAGGUGCGAAAGCAUGGGGAGCAAACAGGAUUAGAUACCCUGGUAGUCCAUGCCGUAAACGCUGAGUGCUAGGUGUUAGGGGUUUCGAUACCCGUAGUGCCGAAGCUAACGCAUUAAGCACUCCGCCUGGGGAGUACGACCGCAAGGUUGAAACUCAAAGGAAUUGACGGGGGCCCGCACAAGCGGUGGAGCAUGUGGUUUAAUUCGACGCAACGCGAAGAACCUUACCAGAUCUUGACAUCUUCCGCUACGCCUCGAGAGAGGCGGUUCCCCUUCGGGGGACGGAUGACAGGUGGUGCAUGGUUGUCGUCAGCUCGUGUCGUGAGAUGUUGGUUAGUCCCGCACGAGCGCCAACCCCUUAAUCUAGUUGCCAGCAUUCAGUUGGCACUCUAGGUGACUGCGGUGACAACCUGAGUAGUGGGAUGACGUUCCAAUUCAUCAUGCCCCUAUGAUCUGGCCUCACCACGUGCUACCAUGAUGUUAACACCAGUGUACCGCGUAUCCCUCCUGCUAAUGGUGGAGUAU